rnacentral:rRNA from 2 species
AUUAAUUUGAGAGUUUGAUCCUGGCUCAGGACGAACGCUGGCGGCGUGCCUAAUACAUGCAAGUCGAACGAACUCUGGUAUUGAUUGGUGCUUGCAUCAUGAUUUACAUUUGAGUGAGUGGCGAACUGGUGAGUAACACGUGGGAAACCUGCCCAGAAGCGGGGGAUAACACCUGGAAACAGAUGCUAAUACCGCAUAACAACUUGGACCGCAUGGUCCGAGUUUGAAAGAUGGCUUCGGCUAUCACUUUUGGAUGGUCCCGCGGCGUAUUAGCUAGAUGGUGGGGUAACGGCUCACCAUGGCAAUGAUACGUAGCCGACCUGAGAGGGUAAUCGGCCACAUUGGGACUGAGACACGGCCCAAACUCCUACGGGAGGCAGCAGUAGGGAAUCUUCCACAAUGGACGAAAGUCUGAUGGAGCAACGCCGCGUGAGUGAAGAAGGGUUUCGGCUCGUAAAACUCUGUUGUUAAAGAAGAACAUAUCUGAGAGUAACUGUUCAGGUAUUGACGGUAUUUAACCAGAAAGCCACGGCUAACUACGUGCCAGCAGCCGCGGUAAUACGUAGGUGGCAAGCGUUGUCCGGAUUUAUUGGGCGUAAAGCGAGCGCAGGCGGUUUUUUAAGUCUGAUGUGAAAGCCUUCGGCUCAACCGAAGAAGUGCAUCGGAAACUGGGAAACUUGAGUGCAGAAGAGGACAGUGGAACUCCAUGUGUAGCGGUGAAAUGCGUAGAUAUAUGGAAGAACACCAGUGGCGAAGGCGGCUGUCUGGUCUGUAACUGACGCUGAGGCUCGAAAGUAUGGGUAGCAAACAGGAUUAGAUACCCUGGUAGUCCAUACCGUAAACGAUGAAUGCUAAGUGUUGGAGGGUUUCCGCCCUUCAGUGCUGCAGCUAACGCAUUAAGCAUUCCGCCUGGGGAGUACGGCCGCAAGGCUGAAACUCAAAGGAAUUGACGGGGGCCCGCACAAGCGGUGGAGCAUGUGGUUUAAUUCGAAGCUACGCGAAGAACCUUACCAGGUCUUGACAUACUAUGCAAAUCUAAGAGAUUAGACGUUCCCUUCGGGGACAUGGAUACAGGUGGUGCAUGGUUGUCGUCAGCUCGUGUCGUGAGAUGUUGGGUUAAGUCCCGCAACGAGCGCAACCCUUAUUAUCAGUUGCCAGCAUUAAGUUGGGCACUCUGGUGAGACUGCCGGUGACAAACCGGAGGAAGGUGGGGAUGACGUCAAAUCAUCAUGCCCCUUAUGACCUGGGCUACACACGUGCUACAAUGGAUGGUACAACGAGUUGCGAACUCGCGAGAGUAAGCUAAUCUCUUAAAGCCAUUCUCAGUUCGGAUUGUAGGCUGCAACUCGCCUACAUGAAGUCGGAAUCGCUAGUAAUCGCGGAUCAGCAUGCCGCGGUGAAUACGUUCCCGGGCCUUGUACACACCGCCCGUCACACCAUGAGAGUUUGUAACACCCAAAGUCGGUGGGGUAACCUUUUAGGAACCAGCCGCCUAAGGUGGGACAGAUGAUUAGGGUGAAGUCGUAACAAGGUAGCCGUAGGAGAACCUGCGGCUGGAUCACCUCC